CUCUGGUGUGGAACAAAUUAGUGUUUAUACGUCAUUGAUGGGUGCUUCUUGAACAGAUUUGAAACCAGUCUUGGCCUAGUAAUAGUUUGUUUAUUUUUAACUGCAAUUAUUAUGCAUUUGGAAACUCUUUUAAGCUCUCUGGGACAAAUGAAUCACUCUUAGUUGUUAGUUUUGAGUUUGUUCUUUAGAUAUAAGGUGUUCUUUUACUUUUGUUGGGUUAUUGUUUUGAAACUUGGAGUACAACAAAUUGUAAAAACAGAAGAAGGGAAAUGAAAAUUCAAGGAGACAGGAAAGUUUCUUUCCCUUAAAUGUUUGCAACUCUGUACAUAUUUUAAUCUCUGAUAUGAAUUUUUAGUUUUCUUUGCUCUGUCCACACUCCACAGUAAUUAGACUGCAAUAGAAAGAGACAACUGAUUCAUGGUUCAGCAACUUUACUAAUGACAUAAGAUUUUCUUUCCUUUCUUUGCUAUUUAUGUUCUUCUUCCUGUGACUUGCCGGCAGAAAUGGUAAACAAGAACAGUGGAAGCAGUAAAGGGGUGACAAUGUAUCAGAAUCCGCCAGGUUCUGUAAUUGGUGUUUUAUAAUAGAGACCCAUGUCUAUAAGCUAUAGACUAUAGAAAUCUGUGAUUACUGUAAAUGCUUAUAGACUAUAGAAAUCUUUGAUUACUGUAAAUCAUUAUUUGAUGAAGACGGUGUUUUUGAACAUGUAAGUGGUUAUCUGAUGCUGACCUCUACAUAAAGCUGAGUCUCUGAGUAAAUGAUAUAAUGGAUGGG
rnacentral:misc_RNA from 1 species